rnacentral:misc_RNA from 1 species
CUUCUUUUUUUCUUUUGUUGGGGGGGGGGAGAGGAGGGGAUGUGGUAUGGAAUUGAACGAUUGAUUACAAUUGAGAAGACAGUGGAUUACAAAAUGAUAAAGAUAUCAACAUAAUCCAUAUUAUCCAGGAAAAUUAAGCCCAUGCAUGGAUAACAUACUAAAGAAACCAAAGACAGCAGAGGUAGCACAUUUAUUUUUUAAAGAAAAGGCCCAACCUGACUCAUG